rnacentral:rRNA from 1 species
GAUGAACGCUAGCGGCGGGCUUAAUACAUGCAAGUCAAGGGGUAGCAAUACACCGGCGUACGGGUGCGUAACGCGUAUGGAACCUGCCCUUAUCUGGGGGAUAACUCGGGGAAACUCGAGCUAAUACCGCAUAAGAUAGUAGAAUGGCAUCAUUCAGCUAUUAAAGAUUUAUCGGAUAAGGAUGGCCAUGCGUAGGAUUAGAUAGUUGGUGGGGUAACGGCUCACCAAGUCUACGAUCUUUAGGGGCUCUGAGAGGAGAAUCCCCCACACUGGCACUGAGAUACGGGCCAGACUCCUACGGGAGGCAGCAGUAGGGAAUAUUGGGCAAUGGGCGGAAGCCUGACCCAGCCACACCGCGUGCAGGAAGAAGGCCCUCUGGGUUGUAAACUGCUUUUGAUUGGGAAGAAAGCAUCUCAUGCGUGGGAUUUUGACGGUACCAAUCGAAUAAGCCACGGCUAACUACGUGCCAGCCGCCGCCGUAACAC